CAAAUUCUAAGUCACACUUUAUGUUACGUUAAUAUGUCCUGGGCUCUACCCUGCUCUGGUUUUAUAUUUCUGGUGCUAUAUUCUGGGUCUUGCCCCUCAUCCCGUGCUUAUCAAGUUGUCUAGGCCUCACCAGUGUCCCUACUGUAGGAAAUGUGGUCCUCUUAACAGCUCUGCUCUGUUUCAGUAACUCUCUGUCCUGGUAUGGUGAGGAAUCCUACAUCCAGAGCAUGGAGCCAGGGGCUAAGUGCUUUGCAGUCCGCUCUCUGGGCUGGGUAGAAGUACCUGAAGAGGACCUGGCACCGGGGAAGAGCAGUAUUGCAGUCAAUAACUGUAUCCAGCAGCUGGCCCAGACCCGCAGCCGGAGCCAGCCUCCAGAUGGUGCCUGGGGUGAGGGCCAGAACAUGCUGAUGAUCCUGAAGAAGGAUGCCAUGAGCCUAGUGAAUCCCGUGGACCACAGUCUGAUCCACUGCCAGCCUCUGGUGCACAUCCGUGUGUGGGGCGUGGGGAGCUCCAAGGGCCGGUGAGGAUGCCUACAUCCCCCAAGCAAGAGCUACUUCUCCCUCCCGGCUGCAGGCUGUGAUCCCCACUGAUGCUGAUCCCCAGUACUUGAACCCCUGGACACAGAUCCUCUGAUGUGGACCCAGGACUGCUUCCCCUGCCUGGUCCAGCCCUGGUUGGGGAGGGUGGGCCCAGCUCAGCAGGGACAGUUUGGGGAGAGUCCGAGAGGCUGGGCUGAUUCCCUUCUGUGCUCCCACAUGCUUCCGGAACAGUGACAGGUGAGUGAAAACCAGGUAUCCUGAGCCCCAUCCCUGAUGUCCCUACUCCAUCCCUGCUAUAUCCCUAGCCUGACUUUCCAGCCUCCUGCAGGCUCCUGCCUCUAACCCGCCUCUACCCCAGCCCCAUCUCUGCCCCUGCUAGGGACUUCGCUUUUGUGGCAAGUGACAAAGAUAGCUGUAUGCUCAAGUGCCAUGUGUUUCGCUGUGAUGUCCCUGCCAAGGCCAUUGCCAGUGCCCUACAUGGGCUUUGUGCCCAGAUCUUGUCAGAGCGAGUAGGGGUCAGUGGUGAUGCCUCUUGCUGCUCCCCAGACCCCAUCUCUCCUGAAGACCUGCCACGGCAAGUGGAGCUGCUGGAUGCGGUAAGCCAAGCUGCUCAGAAGUACGAGGCACUGUAUAUGGGGACACUGCCAGUCACCAAAGCCAUGGGCAUGGAUGUGCUGAACGAGGCCAUUGGUACCCUCACCGCCAGGGGGGACCGGAAUGCCUGGGUCCCCACCAUGCUCAGUGUGUCUGACUCUCUCAUGACUGCACACCCCAUUCAGGCAGAGGCCAGUACAGAGGAGGAGCCAUUGUGGCAGUGCCCUGUGCGCCUUGUGACAUUUAUUGGUGUUGGCCGCGACCCACACACCUUUGGCCUCAUCGCUGACCUGGGCCGUCAGAGCUUCCAGUGCGCAGCCUUCUGGUGCCAGCCCCAUGCAGGGGGACUCUCUGAAGCUGUGCAGGCUGCCUGUAUGGUUCAGUACCAGAAGUGUCUUGUGGCCUCUGCAGCUCGAGGCAAGGCCUGGGGUGCCCAGGCCCGUGCCCGCCUGCGGCUCAAGCGGACCAGCUCCAUGGAUUCCCCAGGAGGUCCCCUGCCCCUCCCCCUGCUCAAAGGAGGGGUUGGCGGUGCAGGGGCAACCCCUCGAAAGCGGGGUGUCUUCUCUUUUCUUGAUGCCUUCCGGCUGAAACCCUCUCUGCUCCAUAUGCCCUAAACUUAUCUGGGAAGGCUGGGGAAGUAGGCUCUGGGUCCAUGCCUAACUCUGUACCGUUUUAUUCCUCAAGGCCUAUAGCCUGUCACUCCUUGAAGCCUUCUCUGCCUGUCCCUCCGAUCCUUGUCCACCGUCUAUUUAUUGCCCAAUUUAUUGUUUAUACGGAUGACUGGGAGGCACUGCACCACAACGUAGGACCCUGGCUCCCCUUUCCUUGGGUCCUUGUGUUCCUUGCCCCUGUCCAACCCUGGACAGUUGGCUCUACCUCAGUAACACUUUAUAGCAAAAUCAGUGCAAAUAAAAAUCCCUCAGUGACCUCA
rnacentral:sRNA from 1 species